AUUAUUGAGGUAUUGCAGGUGUGGCUGCUGUGUCACAUGUGUAUCAUUAGGUGGCAGAGAGUACAGAGGCUAUGUCUAUGUUCAGUGUUCUGAUCCAUGAACAUCUGAAUGAUUAGUAGCCUAACAUU
ensembl:snoRNA